CGAAGAGGUGAUCAGGAGAGUGGGGUGGGUCGUUGCGAACCGAUGCGGACGAAUACGGCGUAACGUGGGUUCGAAUCCCACCCUCUCAA
rnacentral:tRNA from 1 species